rnacentral:lncRNA from 1 species
ACCAUGUGUGAGUCCAUGGGUCUGGGUGAAUUCCAUAUAGUUGUGGUGCAAAAAAACCACUUGCAAUCGUUUACAGGUGGCCGUAAACGAUUACCAGUGUCAAAUCCAGGAUUUGAACACAAACCUCAUCAGCAGGAUCCCCUGCAUGACACCCAGAGGACCAGGGUCACUCAUUGUGCACAACUUGACUUCCAACCUCCAACCCAUAUGACCCCUAUGUUCCAAACCCAAGCAUGACCAAGAACACUCUAAAAAAAACACCCAAACCUCUAAGUUACAUUAAAACAACCAAGCACAGUGAAAAACAAGUAUGACAACCCUGGUCCUCUGGGAACAACACAGGGGAUCCCUAUGUCAGAGUUUGUGUCCAAAUGACUGAAAUGGUUCUGGUAAUCGUUUACNNNGGUGUGGUAAACGAUUACCACAGCAGAAUAUGCACAACUUGACUUCCAACCUCCAACCCACAUGACCCCUAAGUUCCAAACCCAAGCAUGACCAAGAACACUCUAAAAAAAACACCCAAACCUCUAACUUACAUUAAAACAACCAAGCACAGUGAAAAACCAAGUAUGACAACCCUGGUCCUCUGGGAACAACACAGGGGAUCCCUCUGUCAGAGUUUGUGUCCAAAUGACUGAAAUGGUUCUGGUAAUCGUUUACCAGGGUGUGGUAAACGAUUACCACUGCAAAGUUAUGGUGC